GAAUGAUCAGGAGCAAGGGGAAACCCUUCUCCUUCAACUACUUACAAGAACUCAAGAAUUGAACCUGAUUUUGAGAAGAAAUCGAAUGCAUGAGGCUAGAUACAACAUAAUCUAAGUGUAUUGAUCAUAAGAAUCGGACCCACACAAGCAUGGACGUGGACUCAAGCACGAAAGACUAACGGGUCAAGAUGAGGCAAGCAAGCGGGUAUGAACGCGGAUGCACAAGGUGCCACACGGACUUCUUCUGCUACUUAGAAAGUGAAGCGGAGGUAGAUCGAGUCAAGAGCAAGGAUUGCACGGAUAGAUCGGUCAUAUAAUUGAAGUGUAUAACGUCUAGUAAUGUAAAUUUUAGUAUAAAUGUUGUAAAUUCUUUUAUAGAACGUUUAACAUUUUUAGCAUUGGAACCUUCGCGAAAGUAAUGUCGUUAAUAAGGAAAGAAAUUUUUAAAGCCCUUU